CACGAUAUGGGUCAGGUAUGUCCUCACUAUCUACUACUGCAGGAGCACAGGGAUCACGAUAUGGGUCAGGUAUGUCCUCACUAUCUACUACUGCAGGAGCACAGGGAUCACGAUAUGGGUCAGGUAUGUCCUCACUAUCUACUACUGCAGGGGCACAGGGAUCACGAUAUGGGUCAGGUAUGUCCUCACUAUCUACUACUGCAGGAGCACAGGGAUCACGAUAUGGGUCAGGUAUGUCCUCACUAUCUACUACUGCAGGGGCACAGGGCACAGGGAUCACGAUAUGGGUCAGGUAUGUCCUCACUAUCUACUACUGCAGGGACACAGGGCACAGGGAUCACGAUAUGGGUCAGGUAUGUCCUCACUAUCUACUACUGCAGGAGCACAGGGAUCACGAUAUGGGUCAGGUAUGUCCUCACUAUCUACUACUGCAGGAGCACAGGGAUCACAAUAUGGGUCA